AUACGACCUACGGGAGAAAGGGCGGCAGUUUACUGCUCUCGCUAUUAGAUGAGCCUAAGUCGGAUUAGCUAGAUGGUGGGGUAAAGGCCUACCAUGGCGACGAUCUGUAGCUGGUCUGAGAGGAUGAUCAGCCACACCGGGACUGAGACACGGCCCGGACUCCUACGGGAGGCAGCAGUGGGGAAUAUUGGACAAUGGGGGAAACCCUGAUCCAGCCAUGCCGCGUGUGUGAAGAAGGCCUUUUGGUUGUAAAGCACUUUAAGCAGUGAAGAAGACUCCAUGGUUAAUACCCAUGGACGAUGACAUUAGCUGCAGAAUAAGCACCGGCUAACUCUGUGCCAGCAGCCGCGGUAAUACAGAGGGUGCAAGCGUUAAUCGGAAUUACUGGGCGUAAAGGGAGCGUAGGUGGCUUUAUAAGUCAGAUGUGAAAUCCCCGGGCUUAACCUGGGAACUGCAUCUGAAACUGUAGAGCUAGAGUAUGUGAGAGGAAAGGUAGAAUUCCAGGUGUAGCGGUGAAAUGCGUAGAGANUCUGGAGGAAAUACCGAAUGGGCGANGGCAGCCUUNCUGGCAUAAAUACUGAACACUGAGGCUCGAAAGCGUGGGNUAGCAAAAAAGNAUAUAGAUANCCCUGGUAGUCCACGCCGUAAACGAUGUNCUACUAGUCGUUGGGUNCCCUUGANGGACUUAGUGACGCAGCUAACGCAAUAAGUAGANCCGCCUGGGGANGUACGGCCGCAAGGUUAAAACUCAAAUGAAUUGANCGGGGGNCCCGCACAAGCGGUGGANGCAUGUGGNUUUAANUUCNGAUGCAACNGCGAAGAANNCCUUACCUGGUCUUGACAUAUCUAGAAUCCUGCAGAGAUGCGGGAGUGCCUUCGGGAAUUAGAAUACAGGUGCUGCAUGGCUGUCGUCAGCUCGUGUCGUGAGAUGUUGGGUUAAGUCCCGCAACGAGCGCAACCCUUGUCCUUAGUUACCAGCGGGUUAAGCCGGGAACUCUAAGGAUACUGCCAGUGACAAACUGGAGGAAGGCGGGGACGACGUCAAGUCAUCAUGGCCCUUACGACCAGGGCUACACACGUGCUACAAUGGUAGGUACAGAGGGCAGCUACACAGCGAUGUGAUGCGAAUCUCAAAAAGCCUAUCGUAGUCCAGAUUGGAGUCUGCAACUCGACUCCAUGAAGUAGGAAUCGCUUAGUAAUCGCGGAUCAGAAUGCCGCGGUGAAUACGUUUCCCGGGGCCUUUGUUACACACCGCCCGUCACACCAUGGGGAGUUGAUUUGCACCCAGAAGUGGAUAGCUUAACCCUUCGGGGGGAGCGUUUCACCACGGGUGUGGUUGAUGAACUGGGGGUGAAAGUCGGUAACAAGGUUAACCAAUUCCACUAAGUGGAUAU
rnacentral:rRNA from 1 species